GACGAACGCUGGCGGCGUGCUUAACACAUGCAAGUCGAACGGUGAAGCUCCAGCUUGCUGGAGUGGAUCAGUGGCGAACGGGUGAGUAACACGUGAGCAACCUGCCCCUGACUCUGGAAUAAGCGCUGGAAACGGCGUCUAAUACUGGAUACGAGAAGGGUCCGCAUGGGCACUUUCUGGAAAGUUUUUCGGUUGGGGAUGGGCUCGCGGCCUAUCAGCUUGUUGGUGAGGUAAUGGCUCACCAAGGCGACGACGGGUAGCCGGCCUGAGAGGGCGACCGGCCACACUGGGACUGAGACACGGCCCAGACUCCUACGGGAGGCAGCAGUGGGGAAUAUUGCACAAUGGGCGAAAGCCUGAUGCAGCAACGCCGCGUGAGGGAUGACGGCCUUCGGGUUGUAAACCUCUUUCAGCAGGGAAGAAACGAAAGUGACGGUACCUGCAGAAGAAGCACCGGCUAACUACGUG
rnacentral:rRNA from 1 species